rnacentral:rRNA from 1 species
AUUGAACGCUGGCGGCAGGCUUAACACAUGCAAGUCGAACGAGUGGCGGACGGGUGAGUAAUGUCUGGGAAACUGACUGAUGGCGGGGGAUAACUACUGGAAACGGUAGCUAAUACCGCAUACCAUCAGAUGUGCCCAUAUGGGAUUAGCUAGUAGGUGGGGUAAGGGCUCACCUAGGCAACGAUCCCUAGCUGGUCUGAGAGGAUGACCAGCCAAACUGGAACUGAGACACGGUCCAGACUCCUACGGGAGGCAGAAGUGGGUAAUAUGGCACAAUGGGCGCAAGCCUGAUGCAGCCAUGCCGCGUGUAUGAAGAAGGCCUGCGGGUUGUAAAGUACUUUCAGCGGGGAGGCGUUACCCGCAGAAGAAGCACCGGCUAACUCCGUGCCAGCAGCCGCGGUAAUAC